GUUUUAAUAUGUAUUACUUUUGUUUUUAAUAUGAUUUAUUUAAAUGUUAGCUUGUAUCAUUUAAUUUAGACUAAUGGUUGUGUUGAACAACUUGGUUGCAAAAGCCCUGAAAAUGGAACCGUCAGCUCUCAUGAUCUGGGAUGCGCUGUCUGCAGUUCAGCGCUGGGUUCCUCCCACUUUCUAAACCCCUCCUCAGCAGGCAGACUCCAGCAUGCACAUGCACCAGGAAAGAGAAUAUAAAAUGGCAUGUUUACUCUUGCUGCUUUGCCUGUAGCUACCCGAAUCCAUAGCAAAAUGUGUAGCCGCAGACAGCAACCAGUCUUAGGAUGUCAGCCCAGGGGUCUCUCCAUGCUUGGCUUGCCCACAGAAUCCUUCCGAGAAAAGCGCUGUAAAGCCUUUCUCUUCAUCCCACUUCUCUAGGUACCUGUUCUUUUUAAACCUAAUCC
rnacentral:lncRNA from 1 species